GCCGCAGUAGCCUGACUGUGCUAAGGUAGCAUAAUCAUUAGGCCUUUAAUUGGGGUCUGGUAUGAAGGAAUAAAUAGGGAAAAUCUGUCUAAGAAGAGGAUUUGAAGUUAAAUUUUUAGUAAUAAUGCUAGGAUAGACUUGUGGGACGAUAAGACCCUAUAAAGCUUGAUUUGUCUACUUUAAAUGUUUGUACUGAAUUUAGGAGAUUAUAAAUUUGACUGGGGCGGUUGGCACUAUAACUUGCUUAAAUUUUAGGGUCUUUUGAUCCAUUAAUAAUGAACCAAGAAUAAGUUACUUUAGGGAUAACAGCAUAAUAUCCUUAUGGAGCCCUAAUCGAAGGGGAUGAUUAUGACCUCGAUGUUGAAUUAAUCUUGAUGUAUGGUGAAGAAGCUAUAUGUUUUAGUCUGUUCGACUAUUGAAUGAUUACAUGAUUUGAGUUCAAACCGGUGUGAG
rnacentral:rRNA from 1 species